rnacentral:rRNA from 1 species
AUUAAACGCUGGCGGCAUGCCUUACACAUGCAAGUCGAACGGCAGCACGGGGGCGAACCCUGGUGGCGAGUGGCGAACGGGUGAGUAAAGCAUCGGAACGUGCCCUGGAGUGGGGGAGUAACGUAGCGAAAGUUACGCUAAUACCGCAUAUUCUGUGAGCAGGAAAGCAGGGGAGUCGCAAGACCUUGCGCUCUGGGAGCGGCCGAUGUCGGAUUAGCUAGUUGGUGGGGUAAAGGCCUACCAAGGCGACGAUCCGUAGCGGGUCUGAGAGGAUGAUCCGCCACACUGGGACUGAGACACGGCCCAGACUCCUACGGGAGGCAGCAGUGGGGAAUUUUGGACAAUGGGCGAAAGCCUGAUCCAGCCAUGCCGCGUGAGUGAAGAAGGCCUUCGG